ensembl:lncRNA
AAAGCAGCAGCGAGCUGGAGGACCUGAUGUGUGUGUGCCUGCUCCCAGACCUGUUUUUCACCCCUCCACAGGAUCACAGCAAUGGAAUAAGCACCAAGGCGCCUCAAGGCAGAACUUUGCCCUCUCUGACUGCAUGAAUUAGAUCCAGACCUAUUAAAUCCAAAUUAUUAUUCUUAAUACUCUGGUGGAGUGAACUGAUGCAGGCAGCACCACACAGAGGUGAGACUAACAGUGUUAGAUCCCCCAGUCUCCAGUGGGAUUUUAAUAUGACCAUUUUUGACAGUGCUUGAGCCCAGCAGCCAAACCAACUGCAUUCUCCUAGCACACACAGAAACACAUUUUUGCAAGUAGUGAAUACCUUGCAAGGCAAGCACUCCCUGCACUUGCAGCAGAAGGAGAAUAUUCAAAAAGUUGCUAUUCAGAAAACAUUUGCUGUUUGAAGGAUUUGCAAAGAUCAUUUACCCAAGGAGAAAAAGAAUACCAGAGAGUAAAAGCAUGAACAACUGGGUGUGAUGGCUAUGCACGUCCCUGCCUUUGCUCCAGCAGAUGUGACUUGGAAAUAUCCCACACCUCUCCUCCAGCAGGAGCCCUCUCCUGACUCCCAAGAGCGCCGCGCAGGAAGAAACCUGGAGAACAUGAGGAAAACAAACCAAACCAAUGAAACCAAGGUGAGCAUCAUUAGUAUUUUCCUCCAAAAUCUGGAUUUUAGCCCAAAUUCAUAAUGGCCCAAGAAUUCUUAUUCCUGGCAAUGCUGUAGGAGAGGGAUAAAUCUCAGCUUUAUCCAGAAUUUGUCUUGUCUGUCACUGAGAGCUGAUUUUAAUGGCAAUGAUGUGAAACAGGCACCUUCAUCUCAGCAGGUAUCAGACACCAUGUUAGAUGUUUGAUCUAAAACUUCACUAACUCUGGGCCAAGAAAAAAUCAUAUCCUAGCUGAUCACUGCUGCAAAAUGAUAAUAGAUUUUUGAGGUGUCAUUUAAUCAGGUUUUAAGACAUAAAUGUUACUUUUUUAGGGCAGCCAGCUCCUUAACCUCAUUUACAGAUUUUCUUAAUUUCUGGUUUUAUCUUCCCUCAACAACUGGUGCAUUUCCUAAUGUCCAGAUACUUACAUCCAUCAGCUUCCCUUUCACUCUUAUUAAAUAUUGAUUUGUUUACAGAACUUUUCACACCACCUCUUAACCAGAACUACUUUGUAACCAAAGUCAUUUUUAUCAAUGAGCAAAAUAACAGUUUUCUUCAAGUAUUCAAAUAAUCUUUUCACAUUAUUAGUUUUUCUUCUUUGAAAAACAGCCACUUAUCAAGUACCCAGAUUAUGAAACCACUUGUGGAACUUAUCUCCUGCUUGUACAAAAUGUGUCCAACCGGGGUACGAUCUCUUGCACCCACGAAAAAAACCCUCACUAUCUGUCCAGAGUUUCUAUACCCUUGAAACAAUUCUGAUAUUUGCCUUCUCCAUAGGACUAAUGAAAGGCUGACCUUCCACUGUGGAAGGAGGAAUUUUAUCUUAUAAAACUGUACUGUGAAAUUUGAUAAUGCAUUGUAAUUUUUGGGACUGCCAGGGCUAUUUUAUUACUAGCAGCACAAGCUCUUGAGCAUCUUGGCUGGAAUAGUGAGGCAUUAGAGAGCAGAGUAACCAAAUUCUUAGUAUAUCCAUUAGCAUUUAUUUCUUGGUGAAGAAAAGACAUUCGCAAAUAUAGGAAUUUUAAAUGUGAGAGUAUCUAAUAUUUUUCAUUCCUUAUGAAAUCAGUAGGUACUAUUUUGUAUGCAGGAAAAAUUCUUUCUGAUAAAGAAGUUCUUUAACCACUGAAUUUUUUCCCCUUUUGACAAUAUUUUUUAUUUCCAACCUGACUUUCAAUUUAAUGAAGGAAACUAAAGUUGCAUUUCUUCCUGGUAAACUUUAAAUAAAUGAGAAAUGUUCGGAUGAAAACA